UCCGUGUAAAGGGAGCACGUUUGUCACUGGUAAUACUUUCGGCACUUUGAUCAGCAAGAUGAGUUUCAGCCGUGUAUCUCUGCUAGCACUUCAGCUCACCAUGUUGUGACUCGCGUGGAAGGUGAGGCCAGUUUCCAAAAGAAAAAUUGAAGGAAGAUCUCAAUAUGGUGUGCCAGCGUGGUAGCAGAGAUACCCAGUGCGUAACUGAAAUAAAAAGACCAAGACAGUUCAUCCUAUUGCUUCCUAAACCAUUGCAGUGAAGAAGUUGAAACUUUGGAAAUUGGGUUGGUGCCAAGGCUGUCAUUGGUGCUGGGACACUGUAUCUUGUAAUUCAAGAUGGCUUUUGGAAAAGUGAUCAACAGUCUAAGACUUUCCAAGUGCUAAAUAAAUCCUUAACUCCCAAGAUUGAAAGGUUAAAUGAACAGAUUGCAUCCAAGGAAAAUAUUUUAAAAUGGUGGAAUUCAGGUAUUCAAGGAUGUUUUCAGACAAUAUCUUCUACUCUUGAAAGACUACAGAGAAAAGAUGCGAAGAAUCCUAAAAGUUGAUGCUUUGCUACUGUCCACAGAAAUAAAACAUUACUAGUAGUAAGACUACUUUUUUUUGGACAGGCAAAUAAUGCUGAAAUUGUGAGCUAUCAUGUUCACAGUUGUUGUUGAAAAUACUUAUUCUUUGACAGAGAAAGAAUAAUUAUUGCCCUUUCUUAAGAACAUUUGUAAUGCAAUUGGACAUCAGCAUGGGUAUAUUGAAAGUGUUUGUUGUUUAAAGCUGAAAUGCUUAAAAACUAUUGUUGGGUUUUCUUAAGAUUUGAUAUAAAAUUUGUGUCACUUAAAUAUUAAGAUUUGAAUGUUUCCACAUGAUUCUUCUGAAUGAAUUUUAUGAGCCGAUGACUUUCCUCCACAUUAAAGCAGUUUGUACCUUGGUGCUGAACCUCGAAUAAAAACAUUUUUUU